rnacentral:rRNA from 1 species
UGGGGAAUAUUGCACAAUGGGCGAAAGCCUGAUGCAGCGACGCCGCGUGAGGGAUGACGGCCUUCGGGUUGUAAACCUCUUCAGCAGGAAGAAGCGAAAGUGACGGUACCUGCAGAAGAAGCGCCGGCUAACUACGUGCCAGCAGCCGCGGUAAUACGUAGGGCGCAAGCGUUGUCCGGAAUUAUUGGGCGUAAAGAGCUCGUAGGCGGUUAGUCGCGUCUGCUGUGAAAACUCGAGGCUCAACCUCGGGCUUGCAGUGGGUACGGGCUGACUAGAGUGCGGUAGGGGUGACUGGAAUUCCUGGUGUAGCGGUGGAAUGCGCAGAUAUCAGGAGGAACACCGAUGGCGAAGGCAGGUCACUGGGCCGCAACUGACGCUGAGGAGCGAAAAGCAUGGGGAGCGAACAGGAUUAGAUACCCCUGGUAGUCCAUGCCGUAAACGUUGGGCACUAGGUGUGGGGGUCCAUUCCACGG